ACCAAAACAGCUGUUUGACAUAGCAACAGGGAUAUUCGGUCAAGGUGUCUCUCUGGCAUUUGUUCUUAAUACCGUUGUGGUUUUGAUCACUAAAAUGGCUGUGACUUUUGGACUCUCGUUGAGUGUUUCUUGGAUUUGCUGUCUGCUAAUUGGAGGGAUAACUUGUUUUACACUUAAAGGUAAUUCUAAUGGGCAUCAUGCCUACACUGGACCUGAACCAACUGGAUCCUAUGCCAAAGCAAGUGUGGUGCCUAGUCCAAAUGCUAAAGCUACUGGCCACAAUGCCACGUCAGCAGAAGCUACUGGCCACAAUGCCACGUCAGCAGAAGCUACUGGCCACAAUGCCACGUCAGCAGA